rnacentral:rRNA from 1 species
CCUACGGGUGGCAGCAGUGGGGGAUAUUGGACAAUGGGGGAAACCCUGAUCCAGCGACGCCGCGUGAGUGAAGAAGUAUUUCGGUAUGUAAAGCUCUAUCAGCAGGGAAGAAAGAAAUGACGGUACCUGAGUAAGAAGCCCCGGCUAACUACGUGCCAGCAUCCGCGGUAAUACGUAGGGGGCAAGCGUUAACCGGAAUUACUGGGUGUAAGGGGAGCGUAGACGGGAAUGCAAGUCUGGAGUGAAGGGCGGGGGCCAACGACGCGGACUGCUCUGGAAACUGUGUAACUGGAGUGCAGGAGAGGCAGGCGGAAUUCGUGGUGUAGCGGUGAAAUGCGUAGAUAUUAGGAGGAACACCAGUUGCGAAGGCAGCCUGCUGGACUGUAACUGACGUUGAGGCUCGAAAGCGUGGGGAGCAAACAGGAUUAGAUACCCGGGUAGUC